AAGUCGUAACAAGGUUUCCGUAGGUGAACCUGCGGAAGGAUCAUUAAUGAAUGAAUAUAGAGUUCGGGUUGUAGCUGACCUCCCAGAGGUAUGUGCACGCCCCUUCUCUUUCAUCCACACACCCCUGUGCACUUGUGAGACGGAGAAGCUCAGUUUCCUUUCAUUAGGAGACUUUGUAGCUCCGUCUAUCAACACAUAAAAUCUAAUUUAAUUAAAUCUGAAUGUAAUUUGAUGUAACGCAUCUAAUACAAAGUUUCAACAACGGAUCUCUUGGCUCUC
rnacentral:misc_RNA from 1 species